ensembl:lncRNA
AAGACAUUAAUUAGUUGUUUCAGGUGUGUUUGAGUAGGGUUGGAGCUAAACUUUGCAGGACAGUCGAUCGCCAUUAACAGAGUUGGACACCCCUGUGCUAGAGGGUUAUUGUGUAUGUCUCCACUGGGCACACUUUGACUGAUGCCACCGGGGUGGCGUUGGCGCUUACGGCUCGGGCCCGCCAUCGCUGCUUGCAGCUAUAUUUAUUAUUAUUUUUUUUAUUUUUCUUUCGACUAAACGGGGCUUUUUGGGGGCCUUAAAGUGCUCAAAAACUCUUGAAAAUUGGCACACACAUUGGAAUCUGCGGUCAUUAGGACGCCGCAGAGACUUGGCCCCCGGCGUGGCACAGGGACUCUACGGCGCCCCCUGGAACACAGUCAGAAAUCUUGAACCAUAGCUCACACAAACUUGCAUGUAUUUAUAUGAAACUCUGUACACUUAUAGAUCUCAUUGAGCCGAACAACUUUUGCACUCUAUGUCAUAGGCUCCGCCCAACAGGAAGUCAGCUAUUCAGGGUUGUUUAAAAAGUGCAUGCUCUGGAAUUUGAUAUACUCCUCUGAGGAUUUCCACCCAUUCGCCACAAAACUCUGUGAACAUGAUCUCAAGACAUUGGG